GUGUAAAUAUAAUGGAUGACAUGGACCAUGAAAUAGGGAGUUGCGGGGAUAUAUAAUGUAGAAAUGGAUUUGGAAAAAGAAAUGUAAGUAUUUUAUUCCCUGUUUUGUAUCGUCUCUUUUCCUAUUAUAUUUUUUGUAUGUUUCUAGACUUAUAUAUAUAAUUCGUAAAUGUGAUGCAGGAGCAAGAUGGAACAAUGUUAAUGGGGGAUGACUUUGGAUUUGAUGCCUACUCGUUUUGAUCAUGUACAACUGAAGAAGAUUGUGACAGAUAAUACAUACUGUUUAGGGAAUAUAACUUAAGAAGAAUGUGUGACUGUUAAUGAGUGGUA
rnacentral:lncRNA from 1 species